rnacentral:rRNA from 1 species
UACGUAGGGGGCUAGCGUUGUCCGGAAUCAUUGGGCGUAAAGAGCGUGUAGGCGGCCCGGUAAGUCCGCUGCGAAAGUCGGGGGCUCAACCCUCGAAUGCCGGUGGAUACUGUCGGGCUAGAGUGCGGAAGAGGCGAGUGGAAUUCCUGGUGUAGCGGUGAAAUGCGCAGAUAUCAGGAGGAACACCAAUUGCGAAGGCAGCUCGCUGGGACGUUACUGACGCUGAGACGCGAAAGCGUGGGGAGCAAACAGG